rnacentral:rRNA from 1 species
GGGAUUGCCCUAGUAACGGCGAGUGAAGCGGCAACAGCUCAAAUUUGAAAUCUGGCUCUUUUAGAGUCCGAGUUGUAAUUUGCAGAGAGCGCUUUGGCGUUGGCAGCGGUCCAAGUUCCUUGGAACAGGACGUCACAGAGGGUGAGAAUCCCGUACGUGGUCGCUAACCUUCGCCGUGUAAAGCCUCUUCGACGAGUCGAGUUGUUUGGGAAUGCAGCUCUAAAUGGGAGGUAAAUUUCUUCUAAAGCUAAAUACUGGCCAGAGACCGAUAGCGCACAAGUAGAGUGAUCGAAAGAUGAAAAGCACUUUGGAAAGAGAGUCAAACAGCACGUGAAAUUGUUGAAAGGGAAGCGCUUGCAGCCAGACUUGCCCGCAGUUGCUCAUCCGAACUUUUGUUCGGUGCACUCUUCUGCGGGCAGGCCAGCAUCAGUUUGGGCGGUUGGAUAAAGGUCUCUGUCAUGUACCUCCUCUCGGGGAGGCCUUAUAGGGGAGACGACAUGCAACCAGCCUGGACUGAGGUCCGCGCAUCUGCUAGGAUGCUGGCGUAAUGGCUGUAAGCGGCCCGUCUUGAAACACGGACCAAGGAGUCUAACAUCUAUGCGAGUGUUUGGGUGUCAAGCCCGAGCGCGUAAUGAAAGUGAACGGAGGUGGGAACCCUUAAGGGUGCACCAUCGACCGAUCCUGAUGUCUUCGGAUGGAUUUGAGUAAGAGCAUGGCUGUUGGGACCCGAAAGAUGGUGAACUAUGCUUGAAUAGGGUGAAGCCAGAGGAAACUCUGGUGGAGGCUCGCAGCGGUUCUGACGUGCAAAUCGAUCGUCAAAUUUGGGCAUAGGGGCGAAAGACUAAUCG